AGAGAGAGAGAGAGGCGAACGCUCUAAUCUGGGGCUUCUGCCGGAGGUAACUCGCCGUCCAUCCUCGUUCGGUUAUCCUCUUCCCGUGUGUUGGGUUCUGGGGAAGUCGGAUGGGGAUCGAUCCAACUUCCAGCGGUCGUCAGGACUAGGAGGCUUCUCGUCAGAGCGGAAAUCGGUGUGCUCAGAUUCCGGGUACCGAUUGCUGCUGUCUAUUUUGGAGAGUUUGUUAUUGGGAAUGGGACGAUUCGGCGGGGAAAGCUAGGAAUCUGAGGGUUGGCGGGGGAAUUAACCCCUACGCCGGAUGGAUCUUUAGCUGAGAACAUUCGAUCAGUGUUGUGAAUUUCGAUCGGCAGCGCACAUGGACUGCUGUACCGGGGAUAGCCAGGGCCUUAUAGGCGUGGCUGGCGAUUUCUUUGAGGUCAAGCAGGAUUGCCGAGACGACGUCCCCAAGACCCGGUUUAAGCCGAAGGUUGGCUACCUAGAUUUUUCUCUCAUAUUUACAUUUCCCCGUUGAAAUGUUGGCAAUCGUGGUGGCAUUGCAUGUGUAGAGUCUCUCGAGGCUGAUACUUUGAGACUUUGUAUGUUGUAAUCUUUGGCAAGAUCAUCCCUACUUCAUGUUUUUGGUUGAUUGUGCAAGAGGAUCAUUGUGAUGUUUGGUACCAUAUAAAUUUCCUUCUUGAUGUAUCGAUUGCUGCGCAGAACGAGGUUCGAAAAGAAUAUAAAACUAACCUGGUUUCUCUACGAUCCAAAAUAUUGUUGAUGCAUAUGCAGAAAUACGUGGAAGAGUUCUGGCAUUGUUGCUUUAUUGAUCAUUGCAUUUACCACGGAACACUUUGAUGUCCUUGUAGGAGUGCCAGCUAUCCGGUGAAACGAAGAAUGGGUGAAACUUGAACUGAUCAUUCCC
rnacentral:lncRNA from 1 species